AGCAGAGUGACGCAGUGGAAGCGUGCUGGGCCCAUAACCCAGAGGUCCAUGGAUAGCAAUCACGCUCUGCUA
rnacentral:tRNA from 1 species